GCUGUGGUCGCGCGGCUCGUCAAGUUAGUCGCUGUGGUACGGAGCCGCGGCGUGUGUUCACGCUCAAUUACUGCUGACAGCCAGCACAUCGCGGGCAGCCUUUGUGACGUCGAUGUGUGAACAUUUACGUUUGCUGCUUGCUCUUGUAUAGACUAUUUCUUGCUAAAUGUACCUUCAAACAAUAGCGUGAUUCCCUUACUGCAAAAAUUAUAAAAUUAAAAGUUUACAAAAGUUAAGUUUGAAAAAGUUGUAUCUAAAGUAUCUAUUUGUAGAGACACUACUGCUUUGGAAGACGGGUUUCGCUGAGAAGUGCCGGGACUACACUCGGUAUUCUUAUCUUGAAUCUAUUUCAACAUUUACCAUAAUUCUCUAAAACCUAUAUAUUAAUGACUGAUGAAACACAAUUUGCCGUGGUGCAUUUGAUAAUAUGGGAGACAAGACAAGGCACAAGACCGAAAACUUUUCUCCACCUGACAGCCAGAAGAUGUGAAGGAGCUGUGAUGACGUCAUCGUGUCCAGUCGGCGCCAGUGCACGCACGUCUGAUUGCUGAUUGCAUUAGCGAGUGCACAUGUGGCGCGCUCGUUAGCUGGUGCACUCACCACUGACCUCGCGCAAACUGCACUGUGCUCCGAACUGUCACCUGCAAACACUAAUGGCGCACCGCACGGCGCUGGCCCCGGGGAACACGCCGUAACUUAGGUAUGUUUCCUUCACACCUCUGUCACAAGAGGGGAAAAUGAUAACAGAAUGCUUACUAUUUGCGGAGCACUAUAUAAGAAAUGACACAUUUUAAA
rnacentral:lncRNA from 1 species